rnacentral:lncRNA from 1 species
UUUAAAACUUUUUUUCUUUUUUCCCUAGUCUCAAGAUGUAACCUUGAAGCUUAGAGCAGAAACCUUUUUCUUUUUUUCCCUAGUCUUAAAAUAAAGCUUUGAAAUGUACUUUCUUUGAAACACCAUUUCCCUCCCUUUCUCAACAUACACUCCCUGACACUAUGAACAUUUGUCUAACUGUGUGCUUCUAUGUAAUUAUGUGCUUACUUAGAACUUCCAGGAACUAAUCUUGAAACAGACCAAGCACAGAGAGCCAGCUACAGAAGUCCAGAGAUUACCUCAAGGCAGUUAGUCAACAACCCAGCCAUUGUUCAGAUGACAGCAUCCUACACUCCAGGUGGACCAUGGCUCGAGAUAACCACCAGAACAAGACACUCCCACCUUGUACUCAGCAGCCUGCCUGCCUGCCUCCCAUUGCAAGUUCCCCUUUUUAAGCUCUCCUCCCCAGCCUAAAGUGUGAAGUGGUUGCUUUGGAAGAGAAUCUGGCCGUUUCUCGAUUACUAGUGUUGGUUAAUAAAGUCACUUUCUUUCUACUACACCUCACUGUUGUCACUGGACUCUGUAAGUGGUGAGUAGCCAGACCUGCAUUUGGUUACAAUAUUUGUAGCAGCUAUGUACCAGGACUGAGGGAAAAAAUAGGAAGAGGAAAAUUUACCAUAAACUAGAAGCUUGGUGCCCUGAAACCUGGUACUUAGACCACAGAUGAGCCUGCUCAAUUACUGCCGCUGCCUCUGAGGAGCCCUGAUGACACUGAUGCUGAGAUACUGAUGGAAGCUGGUGGCUGGGUCCAUGGCUGCUGCUAAAGUGAUACUGAUGGUGCCUGGAAAACAGGUAGAAAAUACUCUCUUCCAUUAAUUCAGUCUUCCCCCAAAAUAAUAUAUUUAUUCAUUUGGCCAGUAUUUUAUGACUAUAUUGAUUUUUAAAUUUCCUCAGACAUUACUUUUUUGUAUUAUGAAGUGUCGAUUUAGAUUUUCCAAUAUGUCUACCACAUUUUCCUUGUUCAUAAUUCCUUUAUCUCAGACAUCCUCCUAAUAUUAUUUUUUCUUUUUGCAUUAAUACAUUUUUACAUUUUUUAAUGAAGUUAUGCUGAUAAUAAACGUUUGCAAUUUUGUUAAUUUCCUAAUAAUGUAUAUGUUUUGCUCUUAUUCUUCAGAGACGGAAUUGUUUUACUCAGAUGAUCUUAUCUUGUGACAGUUACCCUUUCUUAAAACUUCAAGAAUAAAUAUCUUUUCAUUGUCUCUGCCUUCCACCACUGUGGAGAAGUCAAAAUCAUCUAUCUUAUCUUAUCCAAAAUGUACGGAUAUGUGAACCCUUUCCAGUCUUCUCUUACGGUUUUAGACAACACAGUUCAUCCGAGUCUUUCCCCAAAGGAAUGUAAGUGUGGGCUAGCAGUGAAUAUGUAACUUUAAGAAUCUCAGGACAUGUAUUGGGAAGCAGUUUUUUUAAAAAAGCGUAACACAGUUUCAAAAUAACAAAGAACCGAGAUUUGGGUGCAAUUCUUUUCAGCCAUGACUCUGAAAU